AGAACCGGCAUCGUGUAUCUUGU
rnacentral:miRNA from 15 species